rnacentral:rRNA from 1 species
CCUACGGGAGGCAGCAGUGAGGAAUAUUGGUCAAUGGACGAGAGUCUGAACCAGCCAAGUAGCGUGAAGGAUGACUGCCCUAUGGGUUGUAAACUUCUUUUAUAUGGGAAUAAAACGUUCCACGUGUGGGAUUUUGUAUGUACCAUAUGAAUAAGGAUCGGCUAACUCCGUGCCAGCAGCCGCGGUAAUACGGAGGAUCCGAGCGUUAUCCGGAUUUAUUGGGUUGAAAGGGAGCGUAGGUGGAUUGUUAAGUCAGUUGUGAAAGUUUGCGGCUCAACCGUAAAAUUGCAGUUGAAACUGGCAGUCUUGAGUACAGUAGAGGUAGGCGGAAUUCGUGGUGUAGCGGUGAAAUGCUUAGAUAUCACGAAGAACUCCGAUUGCGAAGGCAGUUCACUGGACUGCAACUGACACUGAGGCUCGAAAGUGUGGGUAUCAAACAGGAUUAGAUACCCGGGUAGUC